UUACGCACUCCUACGGGAGGCAGCAGUGGGGAAUAUUGCACAAUGGGCGCAAGCCUGAUGCAGCCAUGCCGCGUGUAUGAAGAAGGCCUUCGGGUUGUAAAGUACUUUCAGCAGUGAGGAAGGUGGGUAUGUUAAUAGCAUAUUCAUUUGACGUUAGCUGCAGAAGAAGCACCGGCUAACUCCGUGCCAGCAGCCGAGGUAAUACGGAGGGUGCGAGCGUUAAUCGGAAUUACUGGGCGUAAAGCGCAUGCAGGUGGUUUGUUAAGUCAGAUGUGAAAGCCCGGGGCUCAACCUCGGAAUUGCAUUUGAAACUGGCAAACUAGAGUACUGUAGAGGGGGUAGAAUUUCAGGUGUAGCAGUGAAAUGCGUAGAGAUCUGAAGGAAUACCGGUGGCGAAGGCGGCCCCCUGGACAGAUACUGACACUCAGAUGCGAAAGCGUGGGGAGCAAACAGGAUUAGAUACCCUGGUAG
rnacentral:rRNA from 1 species